GUUUGGGCUGUUUUUCUUAGUCAGAUUCGGAUUCCUAGAAUCCGGAGUAUUUGAGAUUUAAUUGAGUCCUUUAGUGCGUAUUAACCUUGUGACGGGAUGCGUUUGGGCCCGUUACGAACUCUAGGCUCGUUAGGAUUAAUACGUGACUCUUACUUUCGAAUCAUAUUAGGAAUAGGAUUCUCUCGCAAUUUCUAUCUCAUUUAGGAUUUAUGUUGGAGUGCAACACCUAAUUCUGACAGGUUUCUAUCUUUUAUGACUUGCCACUUUUAACAACUACCCAUUACGGCAGUUACUAUUUUUAGCAUGUUUCCAUAAAUAGCAGGUUUCUAUAAAUAGCAGGUUUCGGGUGAAAUGAAAAGGGGUAAUGAGAUUCGUUAUUUUAUAGGAGAUGCGUUGUCAAGUAGAGAUUUACGUUUUCAUCAUCGAACCUUCCCUUUCGGGAAUGGGGACAAAAGUAGUUGUCUACACACACUACUACAAAAAUGUCAUUUAAUAGUGUUUCUUUUAAUAGCGCUUUUGCCUAUUCUGCUAUUAAAAGUAUGAAAUAUAGCAUAUUAUAGCGCUUAUAAAAAAUGCGCUGUCAUAACUACACAUAUUAUAGCGCUUAUCCAACGUGCGCUGUCAAAAUCCAUACGUAUGAUAGCGCUCGCAAAAAAUGCUUUCAAAUAAUAUAAGAACAAACUUUUGAAAAUACACUCCCAGAAUUAAAAGGCUGUUUAAAAAAAUAAAAUAAAAUUAUGAGUCGCAGACUUUUUUUCUCUCGAUCAUAACGCCCUUUCUUGUUAUUUUUCACACCUCUCACCUCUCAUCUCUCACCUACCUUCUCCGCUUCUUCUCUCCUCGACUCCUCUCACCGGCCGGCGAAAACCAAUGGUCUGACACGGAAGGAAGUCUUAGGAAGCACUGAUAGAGUAUAAAACUAAUCAUGGGGCUUCAACCAUUAGCUUAAGCUUUUGGUUGAGUUGGUCCUUUGACAAGCACAACAACAACUUUGUGUUCGUUCUUGUGGAAAAUUUUGGAAUUGAAUUUUGGAAAUUAGGAUUUGUGAAUUAGGAAUUGGGGAUUUGGGACUACGGAGGCAUGGCCUCAUAAUCGAUGAAAUUGUUGAACUUGAAAAAUCUCUGCAAUGAAGGUCGCUUUGGUAUCCUUCUCUUUCAACGCUUAUUGGCAUACAAAGACUGCAUUAACGUUGUGCUACGUGGCUUCCUCUUGAAAAUUAUCUCCUUAAGCGCCAUAAUUGCAAGUAGACCUGGUUAUUGGACAGGGUAGUCCAAUGGACAUAGGGUUAGGGUCAAGUUAAUAGGGCUUUUAUUGGGCAUGACUCCUAUUGGACAGGGCCUUUAUUGCAAGUGCUUUUUAGAUUGUCAGUUUCCAGGUUAUGACAAAGAGCAGAUGAUGAAGUAAGAACCGAAUGGGUGCGCCAUGUUAUGGAACAAUUGUAUAAUCGCUAGGUUAUGUUGAAGGAACCAACAAACAUAAGACUAUUAAUUAAUGUAUUUUUCGUAGUUUAAUGUUAAGAAUUUUAGUUUAGAUCUAUGUAAUCGGUUUUAUUAGGGUGACAAUUGCAAAAAUUCUUUAAAUUGAGGUUUGGAAAUUACUUUUCAACUA